UUUGCAGUGUCCUUCUCCGUUUGCCGUUGGGUCGCCGGUCACGGUUCUGCGUUCUCCUUCGUCUUGUCUCAGGCUCUCAGCGCAGAUUUUGUUGGACCAAAGGUAUUUUCUCCAAACCUCAGGGAUGAAAAUGCCAGUAAACUCUUAUUUCAAAUGAUACAAUCAACCCAAAAGAGUUCAUCAACUCAACUCAAGUAACUCAACUGACUCAACAGUGACAUAGGCGCCAGGCAGGUGAACAAAACUUUUUGAACUUAGGGUUUUUGCCCCUUCUCUUUACUGCUUCAUCAUAAACCUUUGAGCAAUUUGAUAGAGAUGGAAUAUGUAAGCCCUGAAGGACUUAGAUUAGAUGGUCGCGACCCUAUGGAAAUGAGUCAACUACAAGCCAAGAUUGGUGUUGUUGCCAAAGCAGAUGAGUUCAGAAUGAGAGCCAGCAAAUUACUGACCAAGCACUGGUGUGCUGUGAGUACAGCAUGGCUAAUUUUAGUACUGGAGAUCAUAUGAGAAAACCGAAGGGUGACAGAUGGAUGCUAGGUUACCAACCGGUACAUUUGAAGAUGUCAUGCAACUUGCUACUGAAGCAAAUUAUAUUCGAGCAGUAAAAACUUAUUUUUUUCUGUUCAUAACUUUCCUUGUCCUUAUUUUGUAAAUUUAGUUUGAUUUUCAUCUGGGACUAUGUGUUUUAAUAAUUGCUAAUGGUAUCCAUAUGUUUAUUUGCUUCAUUAAUUCCCUAAACAAGAUAGUUGAUUAUUACUUGCGUGAAUUUUUAGGAUUAUUGAUUAAGGAUGUGGGCUGCUACUAGGUAGACUU